GAUGAACGCUGGCGGCGUGCCUAAUACAUGCAAGUCGAGCGAACGGACGAGAAGCUUGCUUCUCUGAUGUUAGCGGCGGACGGGUGAGUAACACGUGGAUACCCUACCUAUAAGACUGGGAUAACUUCGGGAAACCGGAGCUAAUACCGGAUGAUAUUUUGAACCGCAUGGUUCAAAGGUGAAAGACGGUCUUGCUGUCACUUAUAGAUGGAUCCGCGCUGCAUUAGCUAGUUGGUAAGGUAACGGCUUACCAAGGCUACGAUGCAUAGCCGACCUGAGAGGGUGAUCGGCCACACUGGAACUGAGACACGGUCCAGACUCCUACGGGAGGCAGCAGUAGGGAAUCUGCCGCAAUGGGCGAAAGCCUGACGGAGCAACGCCGCGUGAGUGAUGAAGGUCUUCGGAUCGUAAAACUCUGUUAUUAGGGAAGAACAUAUGUGUAAGUAACUGUGCACAGCUUGACGGUACCUAAUAAGAAAGCCACGGCUAACUACGUG
rnacentral:rRNA from 1 species